AUUAUCCCGUAAUUCUCUCUGCACAACGCCCACAAAGCUUUGCCGCUCCUCCUCUACUAUCCCAAUCCCGUAAUUUUCUCACAGAUGCGAGCGCGGAUCGCUGCCGCAGCCCACCGCUCCUCUACUUCCCAUGGGCCCGAGCAAACGGAGCCAACAACCCGAAGCAACCCGAGCGGCGGAGGAAAGGGUGAUGGCGUAGGCAGCGGUGGGGGUGGAGACGAUGCGGGCGUCGCACAUCCUGAUCAGGCACGAGGAGUCCCGGCGCGAGGCAUCCUGGAAGGACCCCGAGGGCCAGGUCAUUUCCGCCACUACGCGCGACGAUGCCGACGCGCGCCUCGGCGAGCUCCACGGCCAGAUCCUCGCCGACUACGCCUCCUUCGCCGACCUUGCAGCGCAGCACUCUGCCCGCCCGCCCGCCGCUGGACUCCACCAAAGGGCCGAUCAUGCGAGGCAGAUUCAGGAUUGCUUGGUGAUGGAUAAGAUCAACCCGUGUGGCCAGCAGUAUUGGUACCAAUGCUGAUAUAUUUUUUGCAAGUCUCAAGCAUGGUUUCUUUCUGAUUGUGAGGAUGAAUUUUACAAACAGGAUGUUUGAGAAGGUGAUCGUGUGGCUGAAGAAUGAUGUUAAUGAUUGGAGGUGCUCCAACCAGGAAGCAUUCAGGUGGUGCCUGCGUUGGACACAGUGUUUUUUAGGAUGAGAUCAUUCAUUUGGGACUUUUCACUAAGCAGACUGUGCGGGAAGGUCAGGGUGCAGAAUUUGUGAAGUGUUAUAUAGACAAACCAAUACAUUCUUCUUUCGAAAGGAGCUGUUUGCUUUGCUGGUGCUAAGGCACUUUGGAAUAGCUGGGUGCCAUUGAACUGCAAGAUUUUCAUUUGCUUGGCUUCGCAGCAUCAAGCAUGCACAUCGAAUCGUUGGGUCAGAAGAGAGCUGCAGGUACAUAUUUGGCCAUGUUUUCUCUGAGCAGGAAGAGGACACUGCGAUCUCAUCCCGCUUCAGUGCGUAAAUACUCGACAGGUAUGGCAUCAAUGUCUUCGAACGACUCAUCUUUAUGUUGUCCAUGCCCCUUCUGUCACCGAUAAUCUUCAGGAUUGGUGGGGAGAUCUAGCCAGUUCAUUCCCAAAGCUAAAUAAUGUGGUUUUGAUUCUCUUGUUAUGCUUGUGUGCUAUAGCCUAUGAAAGCAACACAAUGCUAGGGCGUUCAACAAUGCUCAGCUUCAAGUCAACGAGGCAACACUCUGUGUUCUCAUUCUUGCUGACCUAAUUGUGUGAGGGAAUAGGAUGGCUGGACAUUGUGAUAUGUGUUGGUGGUGGAGCGUGGAUGUCGUCCCCCUUUGGGGUGCUCCUGUAACUUGUGUUCUCUCCUUUAAAAUUAUGGUACAAAUUUGCAUGCUCUAUAGAAAUAUACACAAUCCAAAGAGAAAUUAUAUCACUGCCCUUAUAAAAUUUAUUGAUGAACUACGCUAUGAAAAAUGUGUUUUUUUACUGUUGAAGUAUAAUUAGUUUUUUUUUAUGUUUAUAGAGAGACGUCCAUGAUUACUAGGUAUUGGUACACAUGCUGACAUCACUUCCAGGGUUCAGUUCAGCAAGAAGACCAAUUACCCCUACAAUGUCCAUUCCUACAACACCCUGGCUUGGCAAACAAGAAGACUCAAUGCAGGCAGCUGCUGAUAAGGAGAUGACUAUUGACCUCUCAGUAACGAAGACAAAAAUACGCACAACAAGCCAAGAACAGGAAGAUGAAGAAAAUCUAGGGCAGGCAGGCACUAUCCUUCUCCAUAGGCCACCUUUCGACGGGAGCUAGCUAGCUAGCAAGGCUAUGCAUCAAAUGCAUCGACUCCAUGGAUAGUUGGCCGGCAGCUCCACUCUGCCAUGGAAAUGGAAAAAGAAGUAUCAUGCUCAAUCCUUCAUUGUUAUGCCAAAUAGUUCCGAGUGGUGGUAAAUGACCCAUUUCUUCAACAAUGCACAAGGGCGGUGUGCGGUCAUUCGUCGCACCGACGACAACAUAAAGAUGAUGGAUGCAAGCUUCUCUUCUCUGGGAAACACACGGAAGAUAGAUUCAAGUUUCAAAGAACGAAAAGGAUGAUCCUGUCACAUUUCUCUCUAUUUCGCCUCAUGCACCUUGCUCUUAAGGCUCCUAAGCUUUUUGGACAUUGACGGUAUUUUGUCCUUUUUAUGUAUGCUUUGGUAUUCUAGCUCGCUUUGGUAGUUGAAGGCACUGAAUCCUGUUGUCCUAUGGGAGAAUAUCAGGUCCCGCGCGACCUCUGCAAUCGAUCUAAGAUUCGAUUAUCAACAUCAAUGUUUAUGGGCCUACACAUAAUUAUGGUACAUCGGGGGUGUUUCUACAAACAUUGUUGUUAACCGUUGGAUCUCGAGAUCAACAGUU